GCCAGACAAAGCGCCUGUAUGAUGGACAGUCCUCUCAGCAAGCCAUCAAGGCACACAGGAAGUUUUUAAAGGCACAAUCUAGGCCUUUGCAACCUCAGGCUCUGUUGCUGCAGCUGGAUCCACACAGGCCAACAUUUGUGUUAGCACCAACCCCCUUUAGGAGCCCACCUGCCUGGAUCUGAUUUCAGCCUUGGAGCUGUCAUUUCCUGCCAUCACAUGAGCUAAGAAGCAGUGCAUGAACUUUGUUUGAAUGACUGAACCAUCGCAGGUACCACUUGAGGAAGAAGUGCAAAGGUCCCUUGAAGAGUGGAGCAGAAGUGAGAGAGAUGUGCAGACACUGCCUCAGUGAUUCUUCUUUGCUGUCCUUGCUGGAGGGAAGUGAUGAAGAUGCUUCCCAACUGCAGUGCAUUGUUCCUAUUUUCUGCCUCUUUUUUAUCCACAUUGCUUCCUGCAAACAAGGAUAUAGCUGGAAGAGCCAUAUUGUCAGAGGGGACAUCCUUAACAGCUUCAGAAAAAAAAAAAUUGCAGUAGGUGUUACUUUGGUAUAAUAUAGAGGCUUUGGUGUAGUGCAGAUGGGGAAAGCACAUCUUAUGCAGACAGGCAUGGCUGAAGCCAACCUCAGUGUUGGCUAAGGACAAAAUAUCAAUGUACACGUACAGUACAGAUCAAAUAACUCUUGGAGAAAUUUGGGACACUCUCAGCUUCAAGCAGUGUUCUUAGCUACAGUCCCAGAAUACUAUAAUUAAUUUUGAAGGUUUGACUUACUCUUCUCUCUCCAAAAUCCAUGACAGUGGUUGACACUAUGACCAAACAAAUUUUCUGAAACAGAAUCUUUACCUAGUACAGAGACACUUCAAAGAAAACACACUUGAAACCAAUUAAAGAAAUAUAUGCAUAUCUAGGUUUCCCUAAGGCUUCUCUUUCCUUAGAUCUGAAGGGCCUAACAAAU